rnacentral:rRNA from 1 species
AACGAGGUGUAGCAAUACAUCUAGUGGCGGACGGGUGAGGAAUACAUAGGAAUUUGCCUUUAGGUGGGGGAUAGCCCAGGGAAACUUGGAGUAAUACCGCAUGAUGUCGUGAGACCAAAGUCGGGGACCGCAAGGCCUGGCGCCUUUAGAGAAGCCUAUGUCGGAUUAGCUUGUUGGUGAGGUAACGGCUCACCAAGGCGACGAUCCGUAACUGGUCUGAGAGGACGAUCAGUCACACUGGAACUGAGACACGGUCCAGACUCCUACGGGAGGCAGCAGUGGGGAAUAUUGGACAAUGGGCGCAAGCCUGAUCCAGCAAUACCGCGUGUGUGAAGAAGGCCUUCGGGUUGUAAAGCACUUUAAGCAGGGAAGAAAAAACUCAAACUAAUAUUUUGAGUCUUGACGGUACCUGAAGAAUAAGCACCGGCUAACUCUGUGCCAGCAGCCGCGGUAAUACAGAGGGUGCAAGCGUUAAUCGGAUUUACUGGGCGUAAAGCGUGUGUAGGUGGUUGGGAAAGUCAAUUGUGAAAGCCCCGGGCUUAACUCGGGAACUGCUUUUGAUACUGUCUGACUAAAAUUCGGUAGAGGGAGGCGGAACUCCAGGUGUAGCGGUGAAAUGCGUAGAUAUCUGGAAGAACACCAAUGGCGAAGGCAACCUCCUGGGCCUGAAUUGACACUGAGACACGAAAGCGUGGGGAUCAAACAGGAUUAGAUACCCUGGUAGUCCACGCCGUAAACGAUGACAACUUGACGUCGGUUUGCUCUGCGAAUCGGUGUCGUAGCUAACGCGAUAAGUUGUCCGCCUGGGGAGUACGGCCGCAAGGUUGAAACUCAAAGGAAUUGACGGGGGCCCGCACAAGCGGUGGA